rnacentral:rRNA from 1 species
UACGGGGGGUGCAAGCGUUAUUCGGAAUCAUUGGGCGUAAAGAGCGCGUAGGUGGCCAGUUAAGUCAGAUGUGAAAUCCCGGGGCUCAACCCCGGAAGUGCAUUUGAAACUAAUUGGCUUGAGUAUGGGAGAGGGAAGUGGAAUUCCUGGUGUAGCGGUGAAAUGCGUAGAUAUCAGGAGGAACACCGGUGGCGAAGGCGACUUCCUGGACCAAUACUGACGCUGAGGCGCGAAGGCGUGGGGAGCAAACAGG